CAUGAAUUGACGUGACGACGGAAAUGGUGGACAAGGUGUAUUUUAGCAAUAAAAAACACCACCAUAUUUUGUUUAUGAUUAUAGGUGUAAAGUAUAUUCGUACGUAUCAACAAAACUACUAAGUUGACCAUGAUGAUGGGUAUCGACAUCUGCAAGACGCUGGAGAAAGUGGGCAUUAAUUUGCGGCAAUUUGAAAGAUGCUUUGACUAGAUGGAUAGAAUUAGCAGAUGCAGACAAGUUAUGACAUUUUGCUACGAGAACAGUUUACAGAUAGAUGUGGGCGUGAGUAGGCACUUUUACUUUGGGAAAGUCAGCCGAGAGCCUUUUUUAACUGCUAUGGCUGAAAUUUCCGAAGCAGUGGAGAAAAGUUUGGUUAACUUUAGGGAUCCAGUUUUAAAACCCAUACCAAAUGCAACCUCAAAACCAGUAAACCCUAGCGUGAGAGCUACAUUCCUAUCUCAAAUGGUAAGCAAACUCGUGCCUGUAACUUUUUAUUUGUGAUAUCAAGUACCAUAGGUAUUGGAAAGAAAUUGUCAAUUUUUAGCAUUGUCUAAAUCCAAUAAUAGUUGUUAUAGGAGUCGGAGUUGGAUACGUUACCAGAAACUGCAGGCAGUACAGACAAAUGUGCCGGUUUAUCUUAUUCCAAGACAUGUCAACCGAAAUCUACUUUCCAUGAAGAAGAUAGUAAUGAAGAUCUAGAAGUGGAUAAAUAUAAACCAGACAUAAGUGCUUGCAUGGUUGAAAGGACAGUAGCAUCAUUAGAUGACUGCUGCUGCAUAGAUGAAGAGGGUAGUCAGGUAACGCCUACACGUGAGCAUUUUUUUCUAUUAUGAGCGCAGCUUGUACAAUUUACUAAGAGAAUGCCAGUUUCCACAGGUACUGUUGGUUCGCAUCCAGUUUCUGUUCUCCGUGACAGUGAUGGCAUGGUGUGGUGGUAAAUAAAAGAUUUGUUUUGUGUUACCUGGACACCUGACUGGCAAGAUGAAAAAACCCUGUGUUUUAAUAAUGGUACUGUUAGGAACUCAUAAAGAACCAUUAUAUAUCUGAACUUCAUAAUACAAUAUAGUCAAAAUUGAAUUUCGUAUGUGUCUGUGUAUAUUUGUACACGCCAAUGUGGAAAAGGAAAUAUAUAAUCUGUAUUUAUACCCUUGGAUAAAGAUUAUUUAUUCCAAUAAUUAAACUUUAGUAAUUCUUGUGGCCAUUUUCACCUAAUAUCCUGGACGCACCCACCUGUGUAGCAGAUUGUGAGUUCCAAAGAACUGCUUGACACGAGUUGAUGGCGGAUAUUGUGGACAAGCUGUAUUUUAGCCAAAAAAAUACCAUUGUUUAUGAUUAUGGGGUAUAUUUGUGAUGUACGUAUCAACAAAACGAGGUGUGCAUGGCAUGGUGGAAAUAGACUUGAGCGGACGAACGUGGCUUGUUUCGAAAAGGAUUUUUGAUGUGAUUAGAUAAAGCAACAGAGCAUGGCCCAUGCAGCAAGACGUGAAAAGCGUACCAAAGUUUUGUUAGAACAUUUGCUGAAUAGUGCGAUAAUCCUGGUAAAGGAAGAUGACAGACAACUCUCUGCAAGAUAGAUAAGUAACUUUUGGUAUUCAUCAAAGAAUUAAUAAUACUAAUCUAUUUUUGGUGGAUGCAGUAACAUAGUUGCAAGACAGGAAAAGUACUGCUGCAGAGGAAGACAAGAAAGAGAAACCUAUUAUAAUUAAUUUUGUCUAAUAUAGGCAAUUUAAUUUAAAUUAGUUAAUUUAAUUUGUCAUGCCUAAUACAAUACAGAAGUUUUGCUAACAUCUUGCUGAAUAUUUUGAUGGCGUAAUCCCGGUGAAAGCGGUUGUAUUAUUUGUUGCGGUUGUAUUGUUUGUUGCAGCAUCAAGACAAAAAUUGCUUAAUUCUGAAAUAAACUGAGUAUAUUGUACAGAAGAUAUAAACUGGCUAAUUACAAUCAGACCAGAGAACCAGAAAACUACUAUGAUUACUAGCAGAGCAUUUAAACUAUAUAAUGAAUUGUUAAUGCCUAAUAAUUCAUGUGAUUUUGGUUAUGAAGAUAAUAAAAAAUAUAAGUAGUGUGUUGACUUUUCUUUGCUGUUCAAGUUUGAAGAUUGGUGGAUGCAGGUAAGUUGUUGCAGCAUCAAGACAUCAAUUGCUUCAUUCUGAAAAACUGAUUAUAUUGUGCAGAAGAUAUGAACUGACUAA